rnacentral:rRNA from 1 species
AACGAACGCUGGCGGCAUGCCUAACACAUGCAAGUCGAACGAGAACUUCGGGUCUAGUGGCGCAAGGGGGCGUAACGCGUGGGAACCUGCACUUGGGUUCGGAAUCACUCACCGAAAGGGAUGCUAAUACAGGAUGAUGUCUUCGGACCAAAGAUUUAUCGCUGUUGGAUGGGCCCGCGUUGGGUUAGCUUGUGGGUAGGGUAAUGGCCUACCAAGGCGAGGAUCCGUAGCUGGCCUGAGAGGGUGUUCAGCCACACUAGGCCUGAGAGACGGCCCAGCCCCCUACGCGAGGCAGCGCUGGAGUGGGUUACAUUGUGCAAUCGGCGAUGGUCUGGCCCCGCAACGCCGCGUAUGACGUGCAGCCCUUAGUGUUCUACAGCCCUUUGACCCGGGAUGAUAAUGACGGUACCUGGAGAAUAAGCUCCGGCUAACUCCGUG